CUUAAAAAUGUCUACUGUGAUCAUAGGCGCGGGAAGUGGGGGUGCUGAGGGUGCUGCAGCACCCCCUGUUUUUGUUUCUGUGGGCAACUGUUUAA